rnacentral:rRNA from 1 species
GACGAACCCUUGCGGCGUGCUUAACACAUGCAAGUCGAACGGAAAGGCCCUGCUUUUGUGGGGUGCUCGAGUGGCGAACGGGUGAGUAACACGUGAGUAACCUGCCCUUGACUUUGGGAUAACUUCAGGAAACUGGGGCUAAUACCGGAUAGGAGCUCCUGCUGCAUGGUGGGGGUUGGAAAGUUUCGGCGGUUGGGGAUGGACUCGCGGCUUAUCAGCUUGUUGGUGGGGUAGUGGCUUACCAAGGCUUUGACGGGUAGCCGGCCUGAGAGGGUGACCGGCCACAUUGGGACUGAGAUACGGCCCAGACUCCUACGGGAGGCAGCAGUGGGGAAUAUUGCACAAUGGGCGGAAGCCUGAUGCAGCAACGCCGCGUGCGGGAUGACGGCCUUCGGGUUGUAAACCGCUUUCGCCUGUGACGAAGCGUGAGUGACGGUAAUGGGUAAAGAAGCACCGGCUAACUACGUGCCAGCAGCCGCGGUGAUACGUAGGGUGCGAGCGUUGUCCGGAUUUAUUGGGCGUAAAGGGCUCGUAGGUGGUUGAUCGCGUCGGAAGUGUAAUCUUGGGGCUUAACCCUGAGCGUGCUUUCGAUACGGGUUGACUUGAGGAAGGUAGGGGAGAAUGGAAUUCCUGGUGGAGCGGUGGAAUGCGCAGAUAUCAGGAGGAACACCAGUGGCGAAGGCGGUUCUCUGGGCCUUUCCUGACGCUGAGGAGCGAAAGCGUGGGGAGCGAACAGGCUUAGAUACCCUGGUAGUCCACGCUGUAAACGGUGGGUGCUAGGUGUGGGGUCCAUUCCACGGGUUCCGUGCCGUAGCUAACGCUUUAAGUACCCCGCCUGGGGAGUACGGCCGCAAGGCUAAAACUCAAAGGAAUUGACGGGGCCCCGCACAAGCGGCGGAGCAUGCGGAUUAAUUCGAUGCAACGCGUAGAACCUUGCCUGGGUUUGACAUGGAUCGGGAGUGCUCAGAGAUGGGUGUGCCUCUUUUGGGGUCGGUUCACAGGUGGUGCAUGGCUGUCGUCAGCUCGUGUCGUGAGAUGUUGGGUUAAGUCCCGCAACGAGCGCAACCCUUGUUCACUGUUGCCAGCACGUUAUGGUGGGGACUCAGUGGAGACCGCCGGGGUCAACUCGGAGGAAGGUGGGGAUGACGUCAAGUCAUCAUGCCCCUUAUGUCCAGGGCUUCACGCAUGCUACAAUGGCUGGUACAGAGAGUGGCGAGCCUGUGAGGGUGAGCGAAUCUCGGAAAGCCGGUCUCAGUUCGGAUUGGGGUCUGCAACUCGACCUCAUGAAGUCGGAGUCGCUAGUAAUCGCAGAUCAGCAACGCUGCGGUGAAUACGUUCCCGGG